UGGGGCUCCUUUGCAGUGGGCUUUGGGUAUGUUUGGUCUCUGACUGUCUGGUUGGGAUGGCAGUUUGAAGAUGUUUAGUCUAUGUUUGCCUCUUGUCUAGCCUGUGGCAGUUGCAGUAAUUUCUCUCUGUCUGUCCCCAGAAAUCCUGCCCCUAGCCUAGAGAAUUCUCUGUCAGUUAUAGUCUUUUCCCUUUACUAUUGGUUUGUCUCUCCCGCCUUGGCUUCUGACCUUCCCCCCGCCCCGAUUUCCUGCGCUCUCCUACAGAACAGCAGCAGUUUUCUCUGCCCCCUCGCUCUCUGCCCCUGCUUCCCCUUGGAGCUGUCGGACCUCGCGCUCUUCGGCACAGCCACCGCGGCCGGCGCCCCGCUCCGCUGCGGAGGGGACACGGCCCCGCUCCUGCCCGCUCCGGUGCGGCUGCUGCCCCGCGGCUGCGGUUUCUGCCGCGGGACAGAGAUCGCCCCGCGCGGCUCCGGCCGCCCCGCUCCGCCGCCGCCGCUGCCGCGAGCGCUGCGGCAUCUGCCCGGCCCGGCGCUGCUGCCCGCGGGAAAGCCGCGCUGCCAAGGCCGAGCGGCGCCAGCGACAGCACCGUGCCCGCCGGCAGAGAAAUAAAAGCAGCUGGGAAAAGCAAGCACAAGGCCCUUCUUUAUUUCCUUUGCCACGAAUCCUUUAGGCGUUGAAUCCACGUUCUGAGCCAGCUGAACUGUGACCCUGCCCACCGGCAGCAGACACAGGGCACGGCCACUCUUGACGUGGGCCCCGAUCAUCCCCCUUGACUGGGGCGCAACGUCACUUUGGCGCCCAGCAUGAGGCACAGAUCCCACAGAAAGGAUUGUCUCCAGGGUGCACGGACGCCCCUGCCAAGCGAAGUUCGUGGUCCGUCAAGUACUGCCGGUGAUUUCGUGCACUCUCUGUUUACUGCAGCUCCCGGGAAAGCCAACCCUCUCCGUUCCAGAUGAGAGAGGAGCUUUCCCCUUGGAUCGAGGACCACCUCCGAGAUUUUCGUUUCCAGGAAUCUUAGGUUUUGUGACAUCCAUACUGGACAACAUAUGGAAACAACUGAACAUCUUUACAGAAUGGAGUUUGUCUGGAUGGAUGUGAUCUGUCCUCAAAGACAUUUGUUUAGUUGUGUUAAUGCUGUGCCUAAUUUCUGUUGUUAUCAGCAUUUGUGGAAAACUGUUUGUUAAAAGUAUUGCCAACCCCAGCCGGGAACUCUCUCCUCCUCAGUGAUGGUAGAAAGAAUGCAAAGUUUAAUUAGAUACCAUUGCCACUGCUGUCAUCCCCUCAAAGGCUAUCAUAAAAAUUAAACAAAAAAAGGGGAAUUGUAGCAGUGGGGGUCUGGGGGGUUUUGGGGUUUUUUGAGGCUGUUUGGGGCUCCUCUGCAGCGGGCUUUGGGUAUGUUUGGUCUCUGACUGGUUGGGACGGCAGUUUGAAGAUGUUUAGUCUAUGUUUGCCUCUUGUCUAGCCUGUGGCACUUGGAGUAAUUUCUCUCUGUCUGUCCCCAGAAAUCCUGCCCCUAACCUAGAGAAUUCUCUGUCAGUUAUAUUGCUAUUGCUUUGUCUUUCCCGCCUUGGCUUCUGACCUUCCCCUGCCCCGAUUUCCCGCGGUCUCCUACAGAACAGCAGCAGUUUUCUCUGCCCCCUUGCUCUGUGCCCCUACCUUCCCCUUGGAGCUGCCGGCCCCCGCGCUCUCCGGCACAGCCACCGCGGCCGGCGCCCCGCUCCACUGCGGGAAGGGACAUGGCCCCGCUGCUGCCCGCUCCACUGGCGCCGCCGGUGCAGCUGCUGCCCCGUGGCUGCGGUUUCUGUGGAGGCACCAAGAUCGCCCCACGCGGCUCCGGCCACUCUGCUCCGCCGCCACCGCUGCCUGUGAGUGCUACGUCAUCUGCCCAGCACCGCUGCCCCGCGGGAAAGCCGAGCUGCCAAAGUCGAGUGGCACCACCAACAGCACCAUCCCCGCGUGGGAGAGAAAUAAAAGCAGCUCGGAAAAGCAA